AAKUCUGACGGAGCAACGCCGCKUGAGUGACGAAGGCYUUCGGGUCGUAAAGCUCUGUUGUUAGGGAAGAACAAGUACCGUUCGAAUAGGGCGGUACCUUGACGGUACCUAACCAGAAAGCCACGGCUAACUACGUGCCAGCAGCCGCGGUAAUACGUAGGUGGCAAGCGUUGUCCGGAAUUAUUGGGCGUAAAGCGCGCGCMGGCGGUCUUUUAAGUCUGAUGUGAAAGCCCACGGCUCAACCGUGGAGGGUCAUUGGAAACUGGAGGACUUGAGUGCAGAAGAGGAGAGUGGAAUUCCACGUGUAGCGGUGAAAUGCGUAGAUAUGUGGAGGAACACCAGUGGCGAAGGCGGCUCUCUGGUCUGUAACUGACGCUGAGGCGCGAAAGCGUGGGGAGCAAACAGGAUUAGAUACCCUGGUAGUCCACGCCGUARACGAUGAGUGCUAGGUGUUNGGGGGGUUCCACCCUCAGUGCURAAGUUAACACAUUAAGCACUCCGCCUGGGGAGUACGACCGCAAGGUUGAAACUCAAAGGAAUUGACGGGGGCCCGCACAAKCAGUGGAGCAUGUGGUUUAAUUCGAAGNCAMCSCRAAGAACCNUWACMAGGUCNUUGACWUCCUCNUGACAAUCCUGGA
rnacentral:rRNA from 1 species